rnacentral:rRNA from 1 species
CCCUUUGUGAACAUACCUAUAACUGUUGCUUCGGCGGGUAGGGUCUCCGCGACCCUCCCGGCCUCCCGCCUCCGGGCGGGUCGGCGCCCGCCGGAGGAUAACCAAACUCUGAUUUAACGACGUUUCUUCUGAGUGGUACAAGCAAAUAAUCAAAACUUUUAACAACGGAUCUCUUGGUUCUGGCAUCGAUGAAGAACGCAGCGAAAUGCGAUAAGUAAUGUGAAUUGCAGAAUUCAGUGAAUCAUCGAAUCUUUGAACGCACAUUGCGCCCGCCAGCAUUCUGGCGGGCAUGCCUGUUCGAGCGUCAUUUCAACCCUCAAGCUCUGCUUGGUGUUGGGGCCCUACAGCUGAUGUAGGCCCUCAAAGGUAGUGGCGGACCCUCCCGGAGCCUCCUUUGCGUAGUAACUUUACGUCUCGCACUGGGAUCCGGAGGGACUCUUGCCGUAAAACCCCCAAUUUUCCAAAGGUUGACCUCGGAUCAGGUAGGAAUACCCGCUGAACUUAAGCAUAUCAA